GGUUUGGCACCUCGAUGUCGGCUCAUCGCAUCCUGGGGCUGUAGUCGGUCCCAAGGGUUGGGCUGUUCGCCCAUUAAAGCGGUACGCGAGCUGGGUUCAGAACGUCGUGAGACAGUUCGGUCCCUAUCCGUCGCGGGCGUAGGAAAUUUGAGAGGACCUGUCCUUAGUACGAGAGGACCGGGAUGGACAUACCGCUGGUGUACCAGUUGUUCCGCCAGGAGCAUCGCUGGGUAGCUAUGUAUGGAUGAGAUAAACGCUGAAAGCAUCUAAGUGUGAAACUCGCCUCAAGAUGAGAUUUCCCAUUCCUUUGGAAGUAAGACCCCACAGAGAUGAUGUGGUAGAUAGGAUGGAAGUGGAAGUGCGGUGACGCAUGGAGCGGACCAUUACUAAUCGGUCGAGGACUUAACCAA
rnacentral:rRNA from 1 species